rnacentral:tRNA from 1 species
GGGCCAUAACUCAGUGGCAGAGCAUCUGCUUUGCAUGCAGAAUGUCCCAGGUUCAAUCUCUGGCAUCUCCA